UACGAAGGGGGCUAGCGUUGCUCGGAAUCACUGGGCGUAAGGGGUGCGUAGGCGGGUCUUUAAGUCAGGGGUGAAAUCCUGGAGCUCAACUCCAGAACUGCCUUUGAUACUGGAGAGCUUGAGUCCGGAAGAGGUGAGUGGAACUCCGAGUGUAGAGGUGAAAUUCGUAGAUAUUCGGAAGAACACCAGUGGCGAAGGCGGCUCACUGGUCCGGUACUGACGCUGAGGUGCGAAAGCGUGGGGAGCAAACAGGG
rnacentral:rRNA from 1 species